rnacentral:misc_RNA from 1 species
CUGUAGAUCGACAGUACCCGCUGCACUGCCCUCAGUGACUCAGCGUUGCACAUAAACAGGGAUUUGGUGGCCAUGGACUACGAACUACUAAUAGUAAUGGAACUGAUGUGAGCUAUGCCUGCCGGGACUGCUGUUAACACUGUGGUUAGGUCUCCAGUUAGUCUGUACAGACACCUUCUACGUCAGCUUAGGCAAUUACCAGAUCACGCGGGCGCACACUACAGGCACCAGCUACGACAGCAGUUCAACAGCCACAAAUAUGAGAUAGACAAGGACAGGAUAUUGCAGAUCUCACGCCGUGCGCUGGAGGAUGUGCAGUGGAUUACAAACAAGUACGGCAAGAAAUCUGAAUAAUCCCCCAACUUGCUGCAUUCCUGACAGACGAGCAACUAGUGUGCACACACCACGAGUGAUUAAGAAGCAGAUUCAUGUGAUCUGCGGCAUGUACAUUUAAUGAAAAGCUCAAACAGGGAAGCAACAAAACUGUGAAAAAAACUCAGUGUUGGUGGGUCAUGUCCAGACCAUCAACGGACCCAUGUAAGAAGUACGCAUGUGCCAUACAGCGCUGUUUGGACUCCAAGGGCUUUCAGGAGCCUGACUGCACCAGUGCGAUCGAGGCAAUGAUAAAGUGCUGUGAGAGGAACGCGGAAAAGGUAUCCGACUGCUGCUCUGGUUUCAGGCGUCCCACCGACCCGACCGUAGUGAUACCGAAAAAGAAUUACUACUCGGACAAGCUAUAGAGAUACCCUGCGUAUGCAGCGCCAUCUCUAGUCGUCUGCUGAAAAUUAGUGUUUUUUUAUAAUUCCAUUAUGAACUAUAAUUCCUUCCUGAAAACUAUUGUUAGUGUUGAGGAGGGUGAGAGGGAAUGCAGGUAAAGCCUACCUCAUUCAGUAACUUGUCGGUUGUGUGUUUCCGAAUAGGUGGUCAGAGCUUCGUAAAAUAAAAUUUAUGCUGUUUGUUUGUAGAUGACCACUCAGUGACCAACCGACGUGUUAAGGUUAGUGUGCUCGCUGUAUUGCUUAAAAACCCUGCCGUAGUUAGCGUUCGUCUGUGCGAUUAUUGUUGUGCGGUGGUUUUUAUAUCGAGUGUUAAAAUACCAUUUAGAAGUGUCAAAAAUGCCUCUAGUUAGAAGAGGUGCGCGAUGUAACAUCUAUGUCUUGUGGAACAUCUUGUUCCUGGUAUUUCUCACUGCUCUGGUCUACUGGCUGUUCUUUGCGUGGUGAACUGGGACUGAGGUUGGCUGUAUUGUGACUGACGUCGUGAGUUUUACAUGCAUUGUAGUAUGUAGCAGGUCUGUAGCAGAGCUUUAGAUACGUCUUGCGAAAUACUCUCCACGUCAUGAGGGCCCGCAUUUGUAUAGACUUUUGUAGCCCUAUGAUUUGUACUAGGAAAAGAUUGAAACCCCAACAAAUUAAAUAGAAGUUUUUCAAAUACUA